UACGUAGGGCGCAAGCGUUAUCCGGAAUUAUUGGGCGUAAAGAGCUCGUAGGCGGUUUGUCGCGUCUGCCGUGAAAGUCCGGGGCUCAACUCCGGAUCUGCGGUGGGUACGGGCAGACUAGAGUGAUGUAGGGGAGACUGGAAUUCCUGGUGUAGCGGUGAAAUGCGCAGAUAUCAGGGGGAACACCGGUGGCGAAGGCGGGUCUCUGGGCCGAUACUGACGCUGAGGAGCGAAAGCGUGGGGAGCGAACAGGA
rnacentral:rRNA from 1 species